rnacentral:rRNA from 1 species
AGUGAACGCUGGCGGUAGGCCUAUCACAUGCCAGUCGAACGGCAGCACAGUAAGAGCUUGCUCUUACGGGUGGCGAGUGGCGGACGGGUGAGGAAUACAUCGGAAUCUACUUUUUCGUGGGGGAUAACGUAGGGAAACUUACGCUAAUACCGCAUACGACCUACGGGUGAAAGCAGGGGAUCUUCGGACCUUGCGCGAUUGAAUGAGCCGAUGUCGGAUUAGCUAGUUGGCGGGGUAAAGGCCCACCAAGGCGACGAUCCGUAGCUGGUCUGAGAGGAUGAUCAGCCACACUGGAACUGAGACGCGGUCCAGACUCCUACGGGAGGCAGCAGUGGGGAAUAUUGGACAAUGGGCGCAAGCCUGAUCCAGCCAUACCGCGUGGGUGAAGAAGGCCUUCGGGUUGUAAAGCCCUUUUGUUGGGAAAGAAAAGCAGCAGGUUAAUACCCCGCUGUUCUGACGGUACCCAAAGAAUAAGCACCGGCUAACUUCGUG